rnacentral:tRNA from 1 species
GCGAAUAUGACGAAAUGGAAGACGUGUCAGAUUUAGGAUCUGAUAGAUUGAAUCUGUGUGAGUUCAAAUCUCACUAUUCGUA